AGAGUUAAAGCACUCCCACGGACAGGAGACAGAACUGCCUGUGGAGAAUUGCAUUAUAGCCAAGCGCCGGGAUAUAUAUUUAUCUGUGCCUGACAUUCUCAUCUCUUUUUAAAGGAAAAGCCACACAUUUGGCCAAAAGAUGAAGUGGAAAAAAUGUACUGUUGAACAAAUAUCCAGGAUGGUUGCUCAGAAUGUAUAAAAUGAUGAACUGUGUGGAAAAAUCAUGCCUGUGGCAAAUUGUCAGCAGGCUAUAUUUGGGGGUCCGAAUGCAGGGCCCCUGCCAACUGAGUUCACAGAGCCUUAGUGUUUUUCCACUUCUAUUUAUAGCGAUGCACACAUUCACACACAAAAAAUGCAGGGGACAUUGGACUUCGUUUUUAAAUGAUGAAAAUGUUCGAAAUGUAUCUGGUUUCAGCACGUGAGAGCCGCUCUGCUGUCUACGAUCAGCCUUGCUUACUGAAGAAGGGAUUAAUCAACGUGGGGAAAACAACGUAAUAGGAUCCUUUGGGAAUCUGAAAGUCUGAAAACAACUUUUUUCUCUAUUUCCUUUUUAAAAUGUAAUUCACUUCAACAAAACUUUAUUGAGCACCAACGAUGCAAAAUGUUGAAAUGGACAUCUGAUUGUUGUCUCUCAGCCUCCAUUCCUCCUGCCCCUUUUCCAGCAGCCAUUGCUUCUAGUUGGAGAACCACGUGUUUCCAGUGAGGGAGAUUCUUCUUUCCAGCUUCAGAUGUUGAACACAAGACCUGGCUUGGCCAAUCAGGGCAAGCCAUCCCCCUGGGCACAGUGAUUGGCUCAGGCCCACCCCGAGCUGGACCAAUCAGAGUGAAGAGUGAGACUUUGGCCAGGAAUGCUGAAACAAAGACUGAGCCUUAGUGUUGGAUUUGAAGGAAGAAGCCCCAGGAGCUGCUGAGAGCUGUUUUAUAACCAUGAGCCAUGUAAAAUGUGCCUCCUUCGUCUUCUCAUUCUGCCAUGAUUGUAAGUUUCCUGAGGUCUCCCCAGCCACGCUUCCUGAACAGCCUGCGGAACGGCCCAGUCCCAAGGCACAAGACCACUUGUGCCAGCAGCCAGCAGCGUGCAUCAGCAAGACAGCAGAAGCAGGAAGACAGCCUGCUGGAAGACACUUACCCUGGCCGGAAGACAUGUACCCCUGAAGAUGGAGAAAGAGGCCUUCCGGGUACUACGUAGCAGUCACGUCAGACCGGGACACUUCCUGUUUAGAGAGGACUAUAAAACUCCGGUCCGGUAAUCACUUGGGGCUGACGCCAUUUUAGGCCUCAUCCCGCCUGCACCCAGGCACUCAUUAAAACAGCGUGUUGCCCCACACUGCCUCGUGUUGUCUGUUGGUGCGCUCUCGGGGUUCAAACCGAUACAAGAACCUUUCAAAUGGUAGUAAGAUUAAAGGUUUUUACUAAGUUAUUAAUAACAAAAAAGGCACAGAUCUUAAAUGUGCAGUUAUGAAUUUUGGCAAUUGUAUACAUUCAUGUAAUCACUACCCACAACAAAAAUAGAAUGUUUCCACCACCACAAAAAGUUUGCAACACCCCUGUACCUCUUUCUAGUGCAUUUCCAAUCAUGUCCUCAUACCUACCUACCCCACAACCAUUUUUUAAUCUCUUCCAGAGCUAACGCUUAAUACAUUGAAUUUUACAUAAUCUUAGGAUAGACUGUCCCACAUAAAGGAGACUAUCUGCAAUAAUUUAUGUUGGAAGAAUAAGAUAUUGAUGUCAAUUAAUACAUUUUGUGUCCUGGUUUAAAAAUGCUCCUACUAUUAAUUAAAAUUUUAAAGACAUUUUCUUGUGAAAGUAUAAAGGGAUACUUUUUUCUAUUUUGAACAUUAUGAGUUCAAAAGUUCAUUCUGAUAGAAAAUUUUAUUUUGUGUGUUUCAACUAUGUAUGGAUGGAAAUAAAACUAGGAAGAAAUAUAGAUAA
ensembl:lncRNA novel transcript